rnacentral:lncRNA from 1 species
GAUCUGGGAACGGGCGGCCAAGGGAGCGGCGUCGGCGUCCUCCAGCGGAAGGCGGCGGGAGAACGGCGAAAUCGGCCAGCGACAGGUGGAAAGGAGUCGCCGCCGCAGCCGCAGCAGGUCGGAGCCGAGGGGAGGUGGGCGGACAACAACGAGCGACGCCUCGAGGGAGAGAGGGCUGCCUGUCUUCUGGAUCCGAAGGCCCAUCCUCUCCCCCAGCCGAUGACGCCAUGCCGGCCUCCUCAUUUGAUUGAUGCAUCCUCAUCAUCAGCCAAAGCGGCUUGCACAAGGCAGCGAAGUUCAGAUGUGUGGGAUACUGUAGUUGAGGCACGGGUUGAUGGCAUGUUGAUGAGCCAAUCCUGCUGCUCCAAUUGA